rnacentral:rRNA from 1 species
GGGCUUGACAUCCCACGAACCUGAAAGGGAAGGGAGCCCGCAAGGGAAGCCGGCACAGGUGGUGCAUGGCUGUCGUCAGCUCGUGUCGUGAGAUGUUGGGUUAAGUCCCGCAACGAGCGCAACCCUCACCCUCUGUUGCCAUCGGGUCAUGCCGGGCACUCUGAGGGAACUGCCCCGGUCAACGGGGAGGAAGGCGGGGGCGACGUCAAGUCAUCAUGCCCCUUACGCCCUGGGCUACACACGUGCUACAGUGGCCGGUACAGAGGGCUGCAAUCCCGCGAGGGGGAGCUAAUCCCACAAAGCCGGUCUAAGUUCGGAUUGCAGGCUGUAACUCGCCUGCAUGAAGGAGGAAUCGCUAGUAAUCGCGCAUCAGCACGGCGCGGUGAAUACGUUCCCGGGCCUUGUACACACCGCCCGUCACACCACGAAAGCCGGCUGUACUCGAAGUCGCUGAGA